UCCUUAGUGGUGUAGUGGUCAACAUUAUCGUCUCUCACACGGUAGCCCUGGGUUCGAUUCCCAGCUAAGGAG